UACGAAGGGGGCUAGCGUUGCUCGGAAUCACUGGGCGUAAAGGGUGCGUAGGCGGGUCUUAAGUCAGGGGUGAAAUCCUGGAGCUCAACUCCAGAACUGCCUUCGAUACUGGCGAUCUUGAGUCCGGAAGAGGUGAGUGGAACUCCUAGUGUAGAGGUGGAAUUCGUAGAUAUUAGGAAGAACACCAGUGGCGAAGGCGGCUCACUGGUCCGGUACUGACGCUGAGGUGCGAAAGCGUGGGGAGCAAACAGG
rnacentral:rRNA from 1 species